GUCAACUACCCACUGCUAAAGCAAGUGGGCUUGUAACUGCCGAAAAAAGAGGCGCUACAAUGGGCUGGUUGACA
rnacentral:ncRNA from 1 species